UGGCUAUAUGGGUGUACUCUACACCUAUGGCUGCAUCAUUGUAAGAAGAUGACACACAUUAAGUUCAAGAUACGCUGGAGUCUGUUACACUAAUCCAUUAUCGUGGAUUUAACCAGACGUUUUAGAUGUACGUGUAUCAUAUGAUGACUCAAAUUGAACUGAUGUGUCACCUGUCUUGAGAAAGGUCCGGUUACGGACCGAAACGUCGACACGAUUAAAGCUUCGGUGACGAUUGAUUUUACCAUUGUGUAUGUUUCUAUCAUUGCGAGAGUGCACCUCCACUUCGAUGGACUUGUUUCUAUAGUAUUAGUGGACCUUAUGGCCCAUUAGGAGCACCCGCCCGGUGAAGAAAGAUUUGGUGAUGUGAGUGCAGGACAACCCAUGGAUAUAUAUAUAUAUAUAUAUAAAGAAAUGGGGGGGAGGGGGAAAUAGCGACCAGCGGUGUCUUUAAAAACUCACAAAAAAGGUAUAAAAUAUAAAAACAAUUUAUUCACAUAAAAUAAAGUUUUCACAUAAAGAUUUUCACAUAAAAAUAUCUUAAUAACAGGUCUCUUUAAAAAAUGGGAUAAAAACAAUUAACACAAUUCUAAGUAUGUUACCAGUUAAAAAUAGAUAAAAGGAUUAUAACUUAACUGGGUAUAGGUCACUGCCAGGUUGCCCAAAUAUAUAUAUAUUUAUUCGAGACUCCUUUGUGGAGCUCCUUAUAGGGACUAUUGAUUGAGGUUGAUUGAGGUUCCCUUUAAAAAUACUGGCAGUCAGAUUUUGACGCACUGCCUGAAUAAGAUAUCCAGAUCUUACAAUCAGGACUAUUUCUGAUUCAGGUAUUAGCCCGUAUAUAGAAUACUUCUAGGAAAAAAUACUUCAAAAAAAGUAUAAAGCUGAUUUGACAUUCACAACGCAAUGAAAACCUCCUCAGUAAACCUCACAGAAUGGAUCCUGAGAGAUUCUGGCUGUGAAUGGAAGUGGCAGAGUCUCGAAUAAUUAUCUUUAAGGCAGAAUUUUAUAUUUAGGACCAUUAGGAUUCCUAAAAUGAACCACCAAGAAAGCUCCUAUCAGGAGCCGAACUUAAGAGAAUCCUUUUUUAUCACUAUAUCCAAGGUUGUGAUUCUCCACACACAAAUCUAUUAAUGGCAAAUAAGCCUGUUUUAUAUAUUUGUUACCCCUGAUGAAGUCGAUAAGACGAAACGUGUUGGGUUUGUCAGUCAGGAGUUUCCAGCAUAGUUUGUGAAGAUACUCCCUCUUAAGCUCGCACCUUGAAAAAGGUGAGGGAGUAUCUAGAGUUAAAGACCACACAACGAACAUACUGGUUAUCCUUUAUUGUCAUCAUUUUAAACACAUCUUUGUGAACACUAUAUGAGGAAUUUUAUGUGAAAACUGUAUUUGUUUUAACAUGUGUUAUUAAAACUAUUUUUUACUAA